rnacentral:rRNA from 1 species
GACGAACGCUGGCGGCAGGCCUAACACAUGCAAGUCGAACGGUAACAGGAAGAAGCUUGCUUCUUUGCUGACGAGUGGCGGACGGGUGAGUAAUGUCUGGGAAACUGCCUGAUGGAGGGGGAUAACUACUGGAAACGGUAGCUAAUACCGCAUAACGUCGCAAGACCAAAGAGGGGGACCUUCGGGCCUCUUGCCAUCGGAUGUGCCCAGAUGGGAUUAGCUAGUAGGUGGGGUAACGGCUCACCUAGGCGACGAUCCCUAGCUGGUCUGAGAGGAUGACCAGCCACACUGGAACUGAGACACGGUCCAGACUCCUACGGGAGGCAGCAGUGGGGAAUAUUGCACAAUGGGCGCAAGCCUGAUGCAGCCAUGCCGCGUGUAUGAAGAAGGCCUUCGGGUUGUAAAGUACUUUCAGCGGGGAGGAAGGGAGUAAAGUUAAUACCUUUGCUCAUUGACGUUACCCGCAGAAGAAGCACCGGCUAACUCCGUGCCAGCAGCCGCGGUAAUACGGAGGGUGCAAGCGUUAAUCGGAAUUACUGGGCGUAAAGCGCACGCAGGCGGUUUGUUAAGUCAGAUGUGAAAUCCCCGGGCUCAACCUGGGAACUGCAUCUGAUACUGGCAAGCUUGAGUCUCGUAGAGGGGGGUAGAAUUCCAGGUGUAGCGGUGAAAUGCGUAGAGAUCUGGAGGAAUACCGGUGGCGAAGGCGGCCCCCUGGACGAAGACUGACGCUCAGGUGCGAAAGCGUGGGGAGCAAACAGGAUUAGAUACCCUGGUAGUCCACGCCGUAAACGAUGUCGACUUGGAGGUUGUGCCCUUGAGGCGUGGCUUCCGGAGCUAACGCGUUAAGUCGACCGCCUGGGGAGUACGGCCGCAAGGUUAAAACUCAAAUGAAUUGACGGGGGCCCGCACAAGCGGCGGAGCAUGCGGAUUAAUUCGAUGCAACGCGAAGAACCUUACCAAGGCUUGACAUGCACGGCGGCACUGCAGAGAUGUGGUGGCAUUUAGUUGGUCGUGUGCAGGUGGUGCAUGGUUGUCGUCAGCUCGUGUCGUGAGAUGUUGGGUUAAGUCCCGCAACGAGCGCAACCCUUGCCCUAUGUUGCCAGCACGUGAUGGUGGGGACUCGUGGGGGACUGCCGGGGUUAACUCGGAGGAAGGUGGGGAAGACGUCAAAUCAUCAUGCCCCUUAUGUCUUGGGCUUCACGCAUGCUACAAUGGCUGGUACAGAGGGUUGCGAUACUGUGAGGUGGAGCGAAUCCCUUAAAGCCAGUCUCAGUUCGGAUUGGGGUCUGCAACUCGACCUCAUGAAAUCGGAGUCGCUAGUAAUCGCAGAUCAGCAACGCUGCGGUGAAUACGUUCCCGGGGCU